UACGUAGGGUGCAAGCGUUGUCCGGAAUUAUUGGGCGUAAAGAGCUCGUAGGCGGUCAGUCGCGUCUGCUGUGAAAACUCGGGGCUUAACUCCGGGCCUGCAGUGGGUACGGGCUGACUAGAGUGCGGUAGGGGAGACUGGAAUUCCUGGUGUAGCGGUGAAAUGCGCAGAUAUCAGGAGGAACACCGGUGGCGAAGGCGGGUCUCUGGGCCGUAACUGGCGCUGAGGAGCGAAAGCGUGGGGAGCGAACAGG
rnacentral:rRNA from 1 species